UGACGGUACCUGACUAAGAAGCACCGGCUAAAUACGUGCCAGCAGCCGCGGUAAUACGUAUGGUGCAAGCGUUAUCCGGAUUUACUGGGUGUAAAGGGAGCGCAGGCGGUCCUGCAAGCCAGAGGUGAAAACCCGGGGCUCAACCCCGUGAUUGCCUUUGGAACUGUGGGACUUGAGUACUGGAGGGGCAGGCGGAAUUCCUGGUGUAGCGGUGAAAUGCGUAGAUAUUAGGAAGAACACCGGUGGCGAAGGCGGCUUGCUGGACUGGAACUGACGCUGAGGCACGAAAGCGUGGGGAGCAAACAGGAUUAGAUACCCUG
rnacentral:rRNA from 1 species